GCCAGCAGCCAUGUCACCCUGCAACUUACAACUGGCCACCCACUGGAGUUCAGCAGGUGUGAGCCUGGUCAGUACCUGGAUGGGAGACCUCCUGGGGAAAGACUAAGGUUCCUGCUGGAA
rnacentral:rRNA from 1 species